rnacentral:rRNA from 1 species
GACGAACGCUGGCGGCGUGCUUAACACAUGCAAGUCGAACGGAAAGGCCCUGCUUUUGUGGGGUGCUCGAGUGGCGAACGGAUGAGGAACACGUGAGUAACCUGCCCUGGACUUUGGGAUAACUUCAGGAAACUGGGGCGAAUAUCGGAUAGGAGCUCCUGGUGCAUGGUGGGGGUUGGAAAGUUUCGGCGGUUGGGGAGGGACUUGCGGCUUAUCAGGUUGUUGGGGGGGUAGUGGCUUACAAAGGCUUUGACGGGUAGCCGGCCUGAGAGGGUGACCGGCCACAUUGGGACUGAGAUACGGCCCAGCCUCCUACGGGAGGCAGCAGUGGGGAAUAUUGCACAAUGGGCGGAAGCCUGAUGCAGCAACGCCGCGUGCGGGAUGACGGCCUUCGGGUUGUAAACCGCUUUCGCCUGUGACGAAGCGUGAGUGACGGUAAUGGGUAAAGAAGCACCGGCUAACUACGUG